CAGCUAAAAAAGUGCAAACAAAUGCAACUGUAAGAAAAAACAGGGAAAGAAAUUUAUAUCGAUAUAGAUUCAGCGAGUCAAGAUAGGGUUAAAAAAGCUAAAAAAGUGCAAACAAAUGCAACUGUAAGAAAAAACAGGGAAAGAAAUUUAUAUUGAUAUAGAUUCAGCGAGUCAAGAUAGGGUUAAAAAAGCUAAAAAUACAAAAAAGAAGAAAAGACUUGAAAAGAAAAAACGACAUUAUGUUUCAGAUUCUUCAUCUUCACAGUCAGAGACAUCAGAGUCAGAGACAUCCACAACAGAGAGUGAUGAAUAUGAUAAAAUAUGUUGUCUUUUAUAAUAUAUAUGUUGACAUCCAAUAAAAGUAUAUUAUAUUUUUCUAAUAGAAUAAUUAUUGAUGCAGAUAAAGUAAAUAAAAAGAAAAAAAGAAAAGUCAAAAAACAUUUCAAGCGUCACAACAAAUUAAUCCAUAAUGAUGUGAAGCACAAAAAGAAAAAACAUGUUUCUGAUUCUUCAACAGAAUCAUAUACAUAGUCAACGGAUGAUGAAUCUGAUGAAGAAAUCUAUGUAAAAAAAAGAACCGGUGAUAGAAAAUAUGUUGAAGGAGUGACAAAGAUUAAAGAAGCAAAAAGGAAGAGGAAUAGUGGGGACAAUCGUGCAGCAAUAAAGAAACAAAAAAACCAUGGAAGAGCAAAAGACUGUGAAAGAUAUAUUGAAGGAGUUGCCUUCAAUAAACACUAGAUCGACACCUGGAUUGAUGACAGAUGUUGUAAGUUCUUUGACAUCAGAACAAAAAGAUUGGGUGAAAUGGAUGGGAUUUAAAGCAUUUUUGAAGAUCAACAUUAAGAGUAUUCCUUUAAAACUUUGCCAUUUUGUGCUUAAGCAUUAUGAUGAAGGCACAAACAAUAUUCUGAUUAAAGGAAAAAGAAUAAAGAUCACAAAGGAAAAAAAUUCAUAAAGUGUUUGGUUUACCCAAAACUGGAAAAAACUUAUUUGACUUGGACAAGGUUAGUGAAGAUCAUCAAGUGUUUGAUGGAUGGAUGAAGGAACUUGAAGACGGAAAGGCAAAUGCAACAAACUACAAGAAUAUUAUUCAAAAAUCCGAACAAGUGGAUAUGAAUUUCAAGCUGGGUUUCAUGGUUUUAUUUGUUAAUACGUUUGCAGAAUCCAUUCCUAUGGGGACAAACAACUUAGUUCCAGUUAGAGCACUUGUUGAAGUAGAUGACAUUUCUAAAAUCGAUUGGUGUGCAUAUUUGUUGUACGUGUGGAAAAUUCAAAAGGGAGAUGGCGUCCAGACAACCCCAAGUGUUAUUAUAGAGGCCCAUUGUUGUUGCUAUUGCUAAUUUACUGUGAUGAAAUUGAAUGCAAGCUCCAAAAAAUAGAACGUAAAACACCAUUAGUUACGAUGUGGACAACAAAUAAGUUGAAGGAAAGACAAUCUUUUGAGAUUGAAGCUGGUGGAUUUGGGGUUGGGAAUCUAAUUGAACAAAGUUCAAAUUUAGAACGUGAGAAGAAUGAAAAUCAGGUGAAUGAGAAUCAGGACACACGUAUUGAGGAAUAUAAAGAUAACUUUGAUAAGAUGUUCAAUAAAGUUUCAUCAAGAAAGGAGGACAUGUAUGGAAUUGUUUCUGAUUGUAUAUCAAAGUUCCCAGAUGUCAAUAUAACAAAUGAGUUGAAAGAGAAGUUCAUUAAGUUAUUUUCAGAUCCUAUUUUUCAAGUGCUGAUAAUCAAAACAAUGAAAACAAAAAAAGGGAUCACAUGAAAGGGUUGAAUCUCAAAAUGGUGACACAAGGGAGAAUGAUAUAAGUUCUUACAAAUCACCAUAUAUGGAUAAAGCUGUGAAUUUAUUUGAUAGAAUCGAUUUGCAGAAUGUUCUUUUGAUUCAGGUUCUAAUAAGAUGUGCACAUGAGAA